AUGUCUCGCCGCUCUGUUGAUCAAACUCCUUCACCUCGCUCCGUCCCACGUAUCUCUAUUCACGCAGGAAAUCAGGAAACUUUUGAUCACCUUCCUUUCCUAUUUAUUCUCUACCAAAUCAACGAUAGAGCCUCCCCUAGAGAAAACAAACGCCCCACCCCUUUUCUAACUCCCGAGCGAGGGUAUCCAUCUCGCGCGCACGCCGCUACCGCCAUCCUUCUGCUAUCCGAGACCUCCCUCCCCUAUGGAGACCAAGUGCAGUUGUGCGUUGGGACCGGCACUAUCAUCGCCAAGCCAGAGAUCAAGAAGCUCCAGUCCAGCAUCCAGGCGCGAGCGGGCCCCAAGAUUGCAGGGUGCCGCGUGAUCAAGGUGGAGGCGCACCAGAUCCCGGAGCACCCGCGCUCGUGCCGCGUGGCCCUGGUCGGCGACGCGGAGGGGUACGUGAUUCGGUGCUCCGACGAGGCAUCUACUUCACGAUCAAGUCCGGGCAGCUUUGCGUCAAGGCGAUGGGCGAUGGCCAAGGAACGACGGUUGAAGAGCACGGUGACGGAGGCCGGGAUCAGGCGCGGGUACCUGUGGCGGUGGGACGAUGAGUUCGUGCUGACGUUCAGAACCUUGGACGCAGGCGCUGGUGGUCGGCUGGGGCAGAUGUUCGAGUGCCACCUGCACAAGUGGAUGGCGUCCGGCGAGCCGUGGGCCGACCUCCAGCUGGUGUGGUGCACCACAGGCGGCAUGGUUCGAUACAACAUCCUCGGCAAGGAGGUCCAGCGGCUCCAGCAGCUCGAGUUGCCGCGAGCUUAG
rnacentral:rRNA from 1 species